rnacentral:rRNA from 1 species
AAACAUGGCGGUUUGAUUAUUAAUUUAACGUCUGACCUGCCCACUGAUAUUGAAGGGCCGCAGUAUUUUGACUGUGCAAAGGUAGCAUAAUCAUUAGGUUCUUGAUUAGAAUCUGGUAUGAAAGGUUUAACGAAAUAUUAACUGUCUCUGUUUGAUGUAUUUAAUUUAACUUUUUAGUAAAAAGGCUAAUAUUUAAAUGAGGGACGAGAAGACCCUAUAGAGCUUGAUAGUUGUUUUAUGACAUUUAGAUAGUUUUUGAAUAAUUGUUGUUAUGAUAACUGUUUUACUGGGGCGGUACUAAGAUAAAUUUAACUCUUGUUUUGUUAAUAAAGAUAGUUAGAUAAUUGAAUCAUUCUAAUUGAUUUUAGAUAAAGUUACCUUAGGGAUAACAGCGUAAUUUAUUUGGAGAGUCCUUAUUGAUAAAUAUGUUUGCGACCUCGAUGUUGAAUUAAGAAUUCAGGGAGAUGGAGCAGUUUCCGUUGAGAGUCUGUUCGACUCUAAAAUUCUUACGUGAUCUGAG